ACUAGCUGAUGAGUCCUAAAUAGGACGAAAUGCACGUUGUCCUGGAU
rnacentral:hammerhead_ribozyme from 1 species